GGGUCUGGGGGAGCUAUCUCCUAGAGGCAAACUGGAUGGUCGGGCCGCCAUCC
rnacentral:ncRNA from 12 species